AAUCAACGCUGGCGGCGUGCCUAACACAUGCAAGUCGAGCGAGAGGGAGUAGCAAUACUCUAGUAAAGCGGCGCACGGGUGAGUAACACGUGGGUAAUCUGCCUCGAAGUGGGGAAUAACACCGGGAAACCGGUGCUAAUACCGCAUAAUCUGACGGGAUCUGCGGAUUUUGUCAGCAAAGGAGCAAUUCGCUUUGAGAGGAGCCCGCGGCUGAUUAGCUAGUUGGUGAGGUAAUGGCUCACCAAGGCCACGAUCAGUAGCCGGUCUGAGAGGACGGUCGGCCACACUGGAACUGAGACACGGUCCAGACUCCUACGGGAGGCAGCAGUGGGGAAUUUUUCGCAAUGGGGGCAACCCUGAUGAAGCAACGCCGCGUGGAUGAUGAAGUCUCUUGGGACGUAAAAUCCUUUCGACGGGGACGAAACCGCAAGGUUGACGGUACCCGUAGAAGAAGCCCCGGCUAACUCCGUGCCAGCAGCCGCGGUAACAC
rnacentral:rRNA from 1 species